UAGUGUGUUUUGAUUCUCCACAAUAUAAACAUAAUCCUUCUUGACGACGAUGAAUCUUUUCUUGCUCAGUAAGAAGUUUGAAACGUACUGCAUCAAUUUAUAUAUCCUCUAAUUCUGAAUGUAUAUAUAUUGAAGAGGUGUUGGUAUUGCCAUUGAAUUAUAGUAACAUUGAGGUCCACUAGUACCGUUUUCAGAUCGGAAUUCA
rnacentral:lncRNA from 1 species